rnacentral:rRNA from 1 species
GACGAACGCUGGCGGCGUGCCUAAUACAUGCAAGUUGAGCGCUGAAGGUUGGUACUUGUACCAACUGGAUGAGCAGCGAACGGGUGAGUAACGCGUGGGGAAUCUGCCUUUGAGCGGGGGACAACAUUUGGAAACGAAUGCUAAUACCGCAUAAAAACUUUAAACACAAGUUUUAAGUUUGAAAGAUGCAAUUGCAUCACUCAAAGAUGAUCCCGCGUUGUAUUAGCUAGUUGGUGAGGUAAAGGCUCACCAAGGCGAUGAUACAUAGCCGACCUGAGAGGGUGAUCGGCCACAUUGGGAAUGAGACACGGCCCAAACUCCUACGGGAGGCAGCAGUAGGGAAUCUUCGGAAAUGGACGAAAGUCUGACCGAGCACCGCCGCGUGAGUGAAGAAGGUUUUCGGAUCGUAAAACUCUGUUGGUAGAGAAGAACGUUGGUGAGAGUGGAAAGCUCAUCAAGUGACGGUAACUACACAGAAAGGGACGGCUAACUACGUG